rnacentral:ncRNA from 1 species
GGAUAGAGGCGCAGGUUUCAUGAGUAUCAUAUGACGAUAGUGUGGCAUACUGUUGUAUGAGAAAGGGGAGACUGCCGAAGAUGGAUUUAAGCCAAAGGAUUUGUCUGGGCUGCAGGAGAAUAUCUUGCGGACUGUCACGAAAGUGGAGCGCUAUCA